rnacentral:rRNA from 1 species
GAUGAACGCUGGCGGCGUGCCUAAUACAUGCAAGUCGAGCGAACGGACGAGAAGCUUGCUUCUCUGAUGUUAGCGGCGGACGGGUGAGUAACACGUGGAUAACCUACCUAUAAGACUGGGAUAACUUCGGGAAACCGGAGCUAAUACCGGAUAAUAUUUUGAACCGCAUGGUUCAAAAGUGAAAGACGGUCUUGCUGUCACUUAUAGAUGGAUCCGCGCUGCAUUAGCUAGUUGGUAAGAUAACGGCUUACCAAGGCAACGAUGCAUAGCCGACCUGAGAGGGUGAUCGGCCACACUGGAACUGAGACACGGUCCAGACUCCUACGGGAGGCAGCAGUAGGGAAUCUUCCGCAAUGGGCGAAAGCCUGACGGAGCAACGCCGCGUGAGUGAUGAAGGUCUUCGGAUCGUAAAACUCUGUUAUUAGGGAAGAACAUAUGUGUAAGUAACUGUGCACAUCUUGACGGUACCUAAUCAGAAAGUCACGGCUAACUACGUG